GACAGAGGUGCCGAGCGUUAGGCGGAAUCACUGGGCUUAAAGCGUGUGUAGGCGGAUGGGUAAGUACCUUGUGAAAUCCCACGGCUCAACCGUGGAACUGCUCGGUAUACUGCUCGUCUUGAGCCAACUAGUGGCGACCGGAACAAACGGUGGAGCGGUGAAAUGCGUAGAUAUCGUUUGGAACGCCGAUGGUGAAAACAGGUCGCUGGGGUUGUGCUGACGCUGAGACACGAAAGCCAGGGGAGCAAACGGG
rnacentral:rRNA from 1 species